GUGGGGAAUUUUGGACAAUGGGCGCAAGCCUGAUCCAGCCAUGCCGCGUGUCUGAAGAAGGCCUUCGGGUUGUAAAGGACUUUUGUCAGGGAAGAAAAGGAUAGGGUUAAUACCCCUGUCUGAUGACGGUACCUGAAGAAUAAGCACCGGCUAACUACGUGCCAGCAGCCGCGGUAAUACGUAGGGUGCGAGCGUUAAUCGGAAUUACUGGGCGUAAAGCGGGCGCAGACGGUUACUUAAGCAGGAUGUGAAAUCCCCGGGCUCAACCUGGGAACUGCGUUCUGAACUGGGUGACUAGAGUGUGUCAGAGGGAGGUAGAAUUCCAUGUGUAGCAGUGAAAUGCGUAGAGAUGUGGAGGAAUACCGAUGGCGAAGGCAGCCUCCUGGGAUAACACUGACGUUCAUGCCCGAAAGCGUGGGUAGCAAACAGGAUUAGAUACCCUGGUAGUCCACGCCCUAAACGAUGUCGAUUAGCUGUUGGGCAGCUUGACUGCUUAGUAGCGAAGCUAACGCGUGAAAUCGACCGCCUGGGGAGUACGGUCGCAAGAUUA
rnacentral:rRNA from 1 species